AAAAAAAAAAAAAAAAAAAAGAGAGACCGCAACAGUAAAAAUUAACACACGGGAAAGAGAGUCUGGUAUCCAAAGCAGUAGGAUUUCAGCCGUCACCAGUACACGUCAAAGCACAGAAACAUCUGUUUCAUUACCCUGCAUUGGAGCUGGAGCAAUUACUUGAGAGAAGUCCCAUCGCAUGGCUAAGGACAGAGUCCAGCUCUCCCACCGGCUGUGCCAAAGCCCUCUCUACUGCCCCGACAGUCGCCCAGGUUUUCUUCUCUGCCAGGAGCUGGAGACCUACUGAGGGAACUGUCUUUGCAGAAUUGCUGCGAGGACCACAGGCCAAAUCUGUUCUAAUGGGAGAGCUCAGCAGAGAUGUACAGACUGGAUGUUCUCCACCUGAGAGAGGAGGUGCUUCAGCGGUUGCCCUUCAUGAUGACUCAGCCUGGAAAGUAGCCAGCCCUUCUCCAUCAAACACACCACAGCCAUGAGAAUGCUCCUUCCUCCAGAGCUAACCCUCAAGCACUGGGGAGAUAACAAAAGGUGCAGCUACACGGUCUUUUGAAGGAAAAAGAAGCUAUGCCUUGACUACACAUUGAACCAGAUGGAUGCCAGGUAAAUAUAUUAGAGUGGCAGUGAGCCCAACCUAAUAUAUCCUGCCUCUGAGCCCAGUUUAUUAGCUUGGGCAUGGUGCUACAGUAAUCGUGGCCAUGUGGUUUCCAGUGCUUGUCAGUUUAUGAAUACAUAGCUCAGAGCAUGGGCAAACCAAGUUGUGUCUGCCUACAAAAGAAGUAAUGCAAGAAGAGAGGAAAAGUGAAUUAAAAGCCCUGCCAUGACGGUAUCAAAGACUCCAUGUCUUCACUGAACGUCCUACUCUUUUGCUGCGUGUGCAGAUUUUACUCCUGAGUUAUAAUUCAGAUAGAAAUCUUGCUUGAGUGGAGGUUACAUCUCCCAGUUCUAGGUGAUACUAAAUA
rnacentral:lncRNA from 1 species